rnacentral:lncRNA from 11 species
CUUUGUGAUAUCUACAGUUAUGUUUGCCUGGAAGGUAAUUCUGCUCCAUGUCCCCAUGAUGGGAUCCAUGGAUACAGAUGCCCCAGAGGCUUCCACUGUCCUGAGGGCACUGGCCUGGAGAUUCCUUGUGAACCUGGCAUGUUCAGCCCUAUGGUUGGGGCAAGCACUUGCCUUCCCUGCCCAGCCGGAACAGCCUGCAAGGAUGCUGGCACUGUGGAGCCCCUCAGCUGCCCCCGAGGUUACUAUUGUCCGCUCCAGACGGCCAUCCCCUUUCCAUGUCCUGCUGGUACACUCAACACCCUGGAGGGGGCGCUCUCCUUGAAUGCAUGCAAGCCAUGCCCAGUUGGGAGUUAUUGCACUGGCCACGCAAACUGGGAACCUGAUGGUAAGAAGCUGUUUUGAGGAUCCUAAUCCAAUCUAAUCCUCACUCGACCUCCUUCUCCCAA